GUCCCAUUUCGCUUUCCUUAAUAGAAAUGGAUUAGGCGUACGAUAUCGUUUUCCUUGGAACCCAAAAUUUUCUUCAAAUUGACUGCUGCUUUCAAUAGGUACAAUUGUACCUAUUGAAAGCAGCAAUUUUAAACGUUCAAACAUUUUAAUCAUUCCAAAAUCCAAAAAUUCCAUGGGCCGGUGCAUGGUUUAUUCUCAACAUCUAUGACAUUUUGGCCACAACCACAACAUAAAAUAGUGCAGCCGGAUGCAAGCAGCGGCUGCAAAGGAAAAGAUGGUUUCAUAGGUAGAAGCAGAUAAAACGACCUCUAGUGUUCAGGCCUAACACUUUUCAUUGGAAUAUUUCUAUUUUGUUUUUCGUCGUAACUUUUGGUGGUGGGGGGUAACUAUUUUGGAUUAGGAUGGAAUAGAGAGGAUUAUUCUUCCAAUAACAAAAUACGCCUUUAGUUAACACGAUA
rnacentral:lncRNA from 1 species